UACAGAGACCUCAAACGUUAUCCGGAAUCAUUGGGCGUAAAGCGUACCGAUAGGUGGCUACGAAAGUCAGAAGUGAAAUCUCUCAGCUUAACUGGGAGCAUGUCUUUUGAAACUUCUUGGCUUGAGGGACAAAGAGGAAGCUGGAACAAGCGGUGUAGUAGUGAAAUGCGUUGAUAUCGCUUGGAACACCGGUGGCGAAGGCGGGUCUCUGGGCAACAACUGACGCUGAGGAGCGAAAGCGUGGGGAGCGAACAGG
rnacentral:rRNA from 1 species